CAUUACCAGAGCUGUCGCACUACUAGAGUUGUUGCAUUAACUGUGUUGUUGUAUUAUCAGAGCUAAGGUGCUGCCAGAGAUGCUGCAUAACCAUAAGGGCUGCAUUACUCUAUAUCCUACACCACUCUAUAUCCUACACUGCCUCGUAUAAUGCAUAAAUACCUUACUAAGUUACACAAUGUAUAUGCAGAGAGAAGAGUAUUGCCAAAUACAUGGUACAACUAUAAUC